CCUGGUUGAUCCUGCCAGUCAUUAUAUGCUUGUCUCACAAGAUUAAGCCAUGCAUGGUCUACGAGUACAUGCACGAAAUAAGGCGAAAGCUAAUGGCUCAUUAAAUCAGUUAUGGUUCCUUAGAUCGUUUCUUCCUACUUGGAUAACUGUGGCAAUUCUAGAGCUAAUACAUGCAGUGAGCCUGGAGCCCUUUGGGUAACGGGUGCUUUUAUUAGACCAAGAUCGAUCGGGUUUCGGCCCGUAUUGUGUGGUGACUCUGGAUAACUUUGUGCUGAUCGCAUGGCCACGAGCCGGCGACGUUUCUGUCAAGUGUCUGCCUUAUCAACUUUCGAUGGUAGGUUACUUGCUUACCAUGGUUGUUACGGGUAACGGAGAAUCAGGGUUCGAUUCCGGAGAGGGAGCCUGAGAAACGGCUACCACAUCCAAGGAAGGCAGCAGGCGCGCAAAUUACCCACUCCCGGCACGGGGAGGUAGUGAGGAAAAAUAACAAUACGGGACUCUUUUGAGGCCCCGUAAUUGACAAUGCAGUACACUCUAAAUUCCUUUAACGAGGAUCAAUUGGAGGGCAAGUCUGGUGCCAGCAGCCGCGGUAAUUCCAGCUCCAAUAGCGUAUACUAAAGCUGCUGCGGUUAAAAAGCUCGUAGUUGGAUCUCAGUUCCAGACGAGUAGUGCAUAUACCCGAUGCGACGGCUCGGACUGAACAUCAUGCCGGUUCUUUCUUCGGUGCACUCUUCAUUGUGUGCCUCGAGAUGGCCGGUGCUUUUACUUUGAAAAAAUUAGAGUGCUCAACGCAGGCGAGUCGCCUGAAUAAACUUGCAUGGAAUAACUAGGACGAGAGACCUCGUUUCUGUUCUGUUGGGUUUGGAAUUAGAGGUACAUGUUAGGGGGACGGAGGGGCAUUCGUAUUGCGCGCGCUAGAGGUGAAAUUCUUGGACCGUCGCAAGACGAACUACUGCGAAAGCAUUUGCCAAGAUGUUUUCCUCUCGAUCAAGAGGCGAAAGUCAGAGGUUCGAAGGCGAUCAUAUACCGCCCUAGUUCUGACCAUAAACGAUGCCAACCAGCGAUCCGCCUGAGUUACUCAAAUGACUCGGCGGGCAGCUUCCGGGAAACCAAAGUAUUUGGGUUCCGGGGGAAGUAUGGUUGCAAAGCUGAAACUUAAAGGAAUUGACGGAACAGGGCACCACCAGGAGUGGAGCCUGUCUUAAUUUGACUCAACACGGGAAAACUUACCCGGCCCGGACACUGGGAGGAUUGACAGAUUGAGAGCUCUUUCUUGAUUCGGUGGAUGGUGGUGCAUGGCCGUUCUUAGUUGGUGGAGCGAUUUGUCUGGUUAAUUCCGAUAACGAACGAGACUCUAGCCUAUUAAAUAGGUGCGGGGUUCCCAGCACCUUACAACCUUCUUAGAGGGCGGCUCCUAGCCGCACGAAACAGAGCAAUAACAGGUCUGUGAUGCCCUUAGAUGUCCGGGGCCGCACGCGCGCUACACUGAAGGAAGAAGCAGCGGCGGUGCUUGUGUCCUGUGUGUGCAAGAAGACGCCUGGUAACCCGUGGGGAACUUCUUUUCCGCGUGAUUGGAUACGGGCUUGCAAUUGUUUCCCCAUUGAACGAGGACCUCUCCCAGUAAGCCGCGAGUCAUAAAGCUCGCGGUUGCUACGUCGUCUGCGCCCCUGUUGACACCACCGCCCGUCGCUACUACGCAGAUUGAAUGAUUUAGUGAGGUCUUCGGACCGAUGUCCGGCGCGGCCUUUCGGUUGCGCCGGUCUGUUGGAAAGAUGACCAAACUUGAUCAUUUAGAGGAAGUAAAAGUCGUAACAAGGUUUCCGUAGGUGAACCUGCGGAAG
rnacentral:rRNA from 1 species